GAGAAUAAUAUUAUUUGGUUAGUAGGAUUAAUUUAAUUUAUAAAAAAAGUUAUUGUUUUGUUUUUGUAUACUUUAGAUGGAAUUUAAUUUAUUAUAGCUUAUAGUACUGUGAUGGAAUUAUUUGGUUUUUUUUCUUGUAAAAGGAUAUUUUAUUAGUACCUUUUGUAUCAGGGUUUAUCAAAAUUAUUUUAUGAAUUUAAGGAUCUCGAAUUGGGGAGAGCUAUUAUGCAAUGGGGGUUACUGUGGAAUUAUUAUCUUUAAUUGCUUAUAGGAGUUAUAUGCUAUUCGUUCUUCAAGAUAUCUAGUUUAUUAGGAUUUAAAUUUAAUUUAAAUAUUUAAGUGAUUUGUUUAUAUUUAUGCAAAAUUAUUUACAUAUAAAAGGUACUUAGGAUAAGCUUAGUGUAUUAUUAAAAGUUUACUAAAGAGAGUGGAGAUUUAUAGGCUUUCUAAUGGCAUAGGUUUUAAAAUAUAAAAAUUUAUUUAUUUUUUAUGGGAUUUAUAUAGUUUUAAUAUAAUACUAAUAUGAUAAUAAAAAUGAGUAUUUUUUUGUAAUAAUGAUGUAAUUAGUAGAUUUAAUUUGGUUAGUUUAUGUUAGAUAAUAAUAUAUUAGGAAUUCGGCAAUUGAAUUAUCCGCCUGUUUAUCAAAAACAUGUCUCAGUGUCUUUUAUGUUGAGUCUGACCUGCCUACCGGCCCAUAUCAAGGGGCCGCAGUAUAUUGACUGUGCAAAGGUAGCAUAAUCAUUAGUCUUUUAAUUGGAGGCUGGAAUGAAGGGUUUAACGAGAUAAUGACUGUCUUAUAUAUUAAAAAUUUAAUUUUAUUUUCAAGUAAGAAAGCUUGAAUUAUGAUAAGGGACGAUAAGACCCUAUAGAACUUUAUACGAAUUAUUUGAUGUAAAUAAUAAGUAUUUUACUGGGGUGGUCAGGAAAGAUGAAAACUUUUCUUAAUUUUAACAUUUUAUUUGGUAAAGAGAUCCUUUACUAGGGAUUAGAGAAUAAGUUACCUUAGGGAUAACAGCUUGAUUUUCUUAAAGAGCUCUAAUCGACAAGAAAUAUUGAGACCUCGAUGUUGGAUUAGGAUGACUAUAGGGCGUAGUAGUCUUAUUAGUAAGUCUGUUCGACUUUUGAAUUCCUACAUGAUCUGAGUUCAAACCGGUGUGAGCCAGGUUGGUUUCUAUCUUUAUUUUAUUUAUAUAAAUUAGUACGAGAGGACCCUUUAUAUAAAAUAUUUUUUUUUAUAGAAUAGUAUU
rnacentral:rRNA from 1 species